rnacentral:lncRNA from 1 species
UUUCCAGGCAAACGUGAUUCUUGUGGCCUUCGGAACGGCCUCGAUUCUCCACCCACCUUGCAUUUUCGAUUAUACAAUUUCGAAAAAGGUUGAGAAAAUAUCGAAGAGAAAUAUUCCAGCAAAUCGAGAAUUAUUUUUCACGUUGAAACAUAGGCGAAUAAAUGUGACGUUAAUAUAUUCAUCGAAUUAUACGCUAAACAAAUUUUUAUAAGGAAAUAAAUAAAAUAUAUCUUAUAUUAUAUUUUAUAUACUUAUUUUAAAGUAUAUAGAAAAAAUUUAGAAAAAUAUAUACAGUGAUGUAACAUCGGCCAAUAAACAAAAAUAUAUACAGUGAUGUAACAUCGGCCAAUAAACGUAAGCUUUAAUAUGUG